GACGAACGCUGGCGGCGUGCUUAACACAUGCAAGUCGAACGAAGAGCGAUGGAAGCUUGCUUCUAUCAAUCUUAGUGGCGAACGGGUGAGUAACGCGUAAUCAACCUGCCCUUCAGAGGGGGACAACAGUUGGAAACGACUGCUAAUACCGCAUACGAUCUAAUCUCGGCAUCGAGGAUAGAUGAAAGGUGGCCUCUACAUGUAAGCUAUCACUGAAGGAGGGGAUUGCGUCUGAUUAGCUAGUUGGAGGGGUAACGGCCCACCAAGGCGAUGAUCAGUAGCCGGUCUGAGAGGAUGAACGGCCACAUUGGGACUGAGACGCGGCCCAGACUCCUACGGGAGGCAGCAGUGGGGAAUCUUCCGCAAUGGACGAAAGUCUGACGGAGCAACGCCGCGUGAGUGAUGACGGCCUUCGGGUUGUAAAGCUCUGUUAAUCGGGACGAAAGGCCUUCUUGCGAAUAGUGAGAAGGAUUGACGGUACCGGAAUAGAAAGCCACGGCUAACUACGUG
rnacentral:rRNA from 1 species